GAACUUCUUCGAUUUUUUUCUUUUUUCUUGAACCCCAGAAUUUUUCUUUUGCGCGAAUGAUCCCUGAUCACCGUAUUUGGACCCUGAAAACUCCACGUCACUCUUGAUGUCAAACAAUGAACCCUGUUCUCCAGAAAACACCCUGUGUCUCCCUUUCUCCAUUUGAACCCCGUUCUCCAUUUCUCCCCAUGCUAAUUCCAUUAGCAAUGCCGGAAAUAACACCAAACACCACUCUGAUGACGACAUACCAGAGGGUACACCUUCACGAAAGAAAGGUAACA
rnacentral:lncRNA from 1 species